rnacentral:rRNA from 1 species
GAUGAACGCUGGCGGCGUGCCUAAUACAUGCAAGUCGAGCGAACGGACGAGAAGCUUGCUUCUCUGAUGUUAGCGGCGGACGGGUGAGUAACACGUGUAUAACCUACCUAUAAGACUGGGAUAACUUCGGGAAACCGGCGCUAAUCCCGGAUAAUCUUUUGCACCGCAUGGUUCAAAAGUGAAAGACGGUCUUGCGGUCACUUAUAGAUGGAUCCGCGCUGCAUUAGCUAGUUGUUAAGGUAACGGCUUACCACGGCAACGAUGCCUAGCCGACCGGACAGGGGGGUAGCCGGCCCUGGAAGGGAGACGGCGUCCAGACUCCUACGGGAGGCAGCAGUAGGGAACCUUCCGCAGUGGGCGAAAGUCUGACGGAGCAACGCGGCGUGAGUGAUGACGGUGUUGGGAUCGUAAAACUGUGUUAUUAGGGAAGAACAUAUGUGUACGUAACUGUGCACAUCUUGACGGUACCUAAUCAGAAAGCCACGGCUAACUACGUG